ACCCUUGACCACGGUAUAGUCAGCGACUGGGGUGAAGUCGUAACAAGGUAGCCGUAGGGGAACCUGCGGCUGGAUUACCUCCUUUCUAAGGAUGAAUGAAAGUAAAAUUUCAUUCUAAAUAAUAUACAUCGGUAAUGUUGACCGUCCUCAUUUCUCUUCUUAAAGUAAUGUUUCCUUCUUGUAGGGCCGGUAGCUCAGUUGGUUAGAGCACACCCUUGAUAAGGGUGGGGUCGAAAGUUCGAGUCUUUCUCGGCCCACCACACUUAACUGGGGGAUUAGCUCAGCUGGGAGAGCGCCUGAUUUGCAUUCAGGAGGUCAGCGGUUCGAUCCCGCUAUCCUCCACCAGGAAACAUUUAGUUAUAAAAACUGUAAAUAAAUUUAAUAAUUAAUAUCAAUAUCUAUAUCCGAACAUUAGUAAUGUUAUUAGCUAAUGUUCAAAAUAAAAAUUUGAUCACAACAUAGAUAAUUUUUCUUUUAAAAAGAAUUUUUUUCUGUGCAUAAAUCAAGCGUUUAAGGGCGUGUAGUGGAUGCCUUGGCACUGAAAGCCGAUGAAGGACGUGAUAUACUGCGAUAAGUUUCGGGGAGCUGUAUGUAAGUUUUGAUCCGAAAAUUU
rnacentral:misc_RNA from 1 species